rnacentral:lncRNA from 1 species
UUGCUGGGUAUGGGGAAGGGGCGUCUUCUGUCCUUGUGGUCCGCUUCUAGGCUUUUUGGAGCAUCUUCCAGGGUCACUCCAGAGACCCCCCCAGACUACUGAAUCUGAAUCCGUUAGGGUGGUCCAACCUUCCUCUUCAGGUGUCUACUAGAGGCAAGGUUGGAUGUAUGCGGCUGCCCUCAGUACAGCCCCUUCCUUGUUUUUUCUUCAUUUGUGUUUACUUAAAACAUUAAUCCUUUUCUCCCUCUCCUCCAUCCCUCUCCCUCCCCUACUAUACAGUUAUUGACUUACACUAAUUCAUUCCCGAUGAUCUCCCAGAAGGAAAUAAGUGUCUGUCUGUCUCUGUCUCUGUACCAUCGUCUUCUUGGUACAGUUCGGACUAUUUUUUCUCUACACCCCAGUUAUGCAAAGUGUAGUCCCUGAACCAGCAGCCUCAGCAUCCUGAGGGAAUUUGUUAAAAACGCGAAAUCUCAAGCCCUACCCAGACUUACUGAAUCAGUGUCUGCAUUGCAACAAGAUCCCCUGGUAAUUCCUAUGCACAUCAAAAUUUGGAAGGCACAGCUCUCAACUGAUGUCCUGGGUCUCCUUCACAUCCAUCCUGGGAAGGUCUUAUUCCUCAUUCCUGAGCUCAUCCCACUGAAGAGCUAUGGCACUUCCAAUUCCUGAGCCUUUGUGAGGUUCUGCGUGUCAGUAAGCUUGCUUCCGGGCAUCACCUCCGAAAACACUUGGGUUUCAGUUUUCUCUGUGAGGCUUCUUAAGGAGUGGAGGAAAGUGGAUGUUUUCAAGAUAACGCAGCUAACAUUCAAAGAGGUUAAGUGAAUUGUCCAAAGUCACACAGCAAGCACUGGAGGCUGGAGUGCAAUGGUGUGAUCUCAGCUCACUGCAACCUCUGCCUCUCAGAUUCAAGUGAUUCUCCUGCCUCAGCCUCCCAAGUUGCUGAGAUUACAGGUUCUUCAUUUGUGAACAAAUGACAUUUUAUGCUGAAGAUAGGCUUGCACCUGAGAGUCAACAACAGGGCCUUGUUAGAUCUGGGCUGUGCAAUGUUGUUAAGCUGUCCCAUGAUCCAGCAGAUUAGAGCAUUAGGGACACCCUGACACACUGAAGACUUGACAUCACUUCAGAUGAAAAUGCUAAGAUUGGUAGGUUUCUCCCUACCACAGGGAAAUUAGAAAUUAUGAAAUACAUUGCAAAGACACAAGCCACGUAACAUGGAAUGCUGGCUUGGAAAAAAAGGACCUGAGCUUAUGUUUAAUCCCACCCUUACCUCUGGGAACUGGGGCACAUUUCUGGGUUUUGAAUUUCUCUUCUGUAAAAAGAAGACCAAUGGCCAGUUCAGCCAUGGCCAGUUCAUCACUAAUAUCCCUUGAAACUCCGUGAAUAUAUUCUAUGAAUACAAGCCUUAGAGGCAGCCUCUUGCUGCAAAAAUGCAGCUACAAGUCUUUGAUUCUUCUGUGGGUGAGAUGAACACAGUCAUGCCAAAAUCAUAGUGUUUUAUAAUAAUCAAACAAGUUAAUGUUUAUGAAAUAGCUUUGGAAAUUGAAAAAGGCUACGAAAUAUUGCAUUACAUAUGCAAUUUGCGAUAAUUGGAGUAAUUAAUACUCAUUUGAGAUCAGCCAUGUUGGAGUAGGUUAGAUCACUCACAUUCCUCUCUUCAUGUACUGAUCUAGUAACAUUUGAUCAUCACUUCAGAGGUUACAGAUGAUGUGCUGCUGUCUAUUGGAUGAUGCAGUUUAUGGUUUUAAAAUCCUAAGGGCCACCCUAAGAACCCAGGGUUACAAUAUGCUCAAUAUUUCUACUGAUGAUACUGAAAAGUCAAUUUCUAGAGGAUUCUCUACUUAAGAAGACAAAAAUCCUUGACAAAUACCUGCUUGGUUCCAAGAUAUGGUGGCAUAAGUUGAGCAAAAUAACAGAUCAAUGGAAAAGCAUGGACAAGAUAGGUAAUAAAUUCCUACUCCAUUGGCUAUAGUACUGAGCAUUUACUUUGCUAAAAGGAUGCUGGUUCAAUGUGUCAUGGAAGGAGUGCCCUGCAGAAUAAAUUUUGGUCUUGAAAUUUUGGGAGGCUGAAGUUUCUGAGAUCAAGUCAGGCCUUUUUGAUCCCUCAUAAUUAGAGUUGUGACAGAUCUAGGUGCCAUUUUGUAACAUUUAGUGAUGACAAAGUAUCUAGGGUAUAUUUUAUGUCCAAACAACUUCUGGUGAUGUCUAAUUAAAGGACCCACUGGAUCUAAGUCGAAGAAUUCUAAAAAAAUUUACGUUCCCAUUUCUUGGAAAUAGAUGAUUAAAAAGACCCCCUACCCAGGCCUUAGUUUCUAUCCAUGAUUAGAAACUGUGGUAUCAGCACUCUUCCCAGUAUUCAGGGGCCCCAUCAAUAACACAUGCCAAAAUGCUCUAGAGGGGCCUCAGUAAGGAAAACAGAAGGCGUCAGGAAAUUCUCCAUCAUUUUUCAGUGACAGCAUUUGUCAGAGGAGGAAAUUAGAUUAUAGAAAAAUGCUGAAUUAGAUAUCUUUAUCAGUGACUGUUAAAACCCCAGGGAACAAGAUAAAACUACUCUGAAGACAGUGGGGGUUGGUAAGUAUGCUGCAAGAAACACAGCUCUGGUACACUGUUGGAGACAUAGGGUGAAUGUGAGAGUGAGAGCACACUUGUCAGGACUCAGAAGUGCAAACAGCCCUACUGAAUUAUCAAAGAAUGCACAAGGAUGGUUGAUGGCAACCACACACAUCGUUUGCUGUGUGUUAUCAGAGGUUGCUGGAGAUUGCUGGGGACUUGCUAUAUCAUAUCAGAGUCACAGCAAUAUGCCAAAGACAUGGAUGCCUUUCUGUUUAGCAUUAUCUAUCCAGUGCAAACCUAUUUGCUUAUGACGUCCAGUGGCUCUCCAAUGCCAACAGGGAAAAGACUAAGCUCUUUGGCAAGAUAUCAAAGGCUCUCCAAACUCUAGGUCUUGCUUGCCUAUCUCACUUCAUCUUCCUUUACCCUUGGCCUUCUGCUUUAAGCUUCAGUGACUCCCAGCUUGUGAUUUUUCUACUUGUAGCAAACUACUCACAUACCCAUGCCUGUGGUCUUAGAAAGACUGCUGGUUAAAAUGACCCAUCUGGUUUUCUGUAUCUGCUCCUUCCUAUUCCUCCUUGUAGCAUCAGCCCUGGCAUUUAUGUCCUCGGAGAAGCCUUCUCUGAAUGUUUCUCUUAGCCCAUCCUUGAUCCUCCCAUGGUAUCUUAUAAUGCGUACUACUGCAGAUGCAGGUAUUAUAUGACCUUCCUUACAUUGUCCUGUGGUUGAAUUUUAGGUAAGUGGUGCAAAUGUUAAUACACUGGUUACUGCUACUAUUGCUACGCGUGAUAAACUGUUCUUUGUCUCAAACUCACAAGUUUUGUGUCUUCUGCCAGCAUUCAAGUAAAUGUGGCAAGCUAAUUUGUUAGCUUGCAAGUAGGGUAAAAUCCCAGGCUUUUAAUAGUUCAUUGUAUACAUUAUAUUCAUUGUUUUACUUCCAGCACCAAAGUAGUGGUUAACAUAUGCUUAGUGUUUAAUAAAUGUUAGAUGAAUGAAUGAAUUGACUUAAUGCUAUAGAAUAAAAGCAAAGAAAAGCAGCCCAAAGUGAUCAGUCCACUUAGACCAUGUCUUUUCAAUGGCACCUGUGCUUCUGCUUAGCCAUCUCCAGUGUGUCUUCAGUGGUUGUCUAGUGUGGCUUCCAGAGUUUAUUUCCUAACUACAUUUUUACUGAUGCCAGCAAAGAGAGCUCAGAUACUUCUGUGACAUUGUUUAGAGCAUGAACCCAAAUUGCACCAUCAUCAAUGCCAUUUCUUACAUGCUUACCAGGGCAAGAUGCAGUGAGAAGUGUCAUACAAUUGAAGUUACAUAGUUUAUAUAAUUCCUAUGAAUUAUUGGGCUAAAAAAUAGAUAACAUUAAAAGCAUAGUGUACUAAAUGGGCUGUGCAAAACACAGAAGUAUACAGUGCAGAAAUUAAAGAAAGGCUUAACUAAAUUUUUGCAGCCUCUUGUGAACAAGGUUUAGUGUAUAUAAUUUGUGUCUGAAGUGCUGGUGUGGCUUUCUGAAAUUGUAUAUUCUUUUUUCACCCCCAUUUCAUACGGGAAAACUUAGUCAUGAAGUUAAAAGGUGAAAUAAAAUAUGUAAGGUCAACUGCUUAUAGCUAAAAAAUUAGAGAAAGGGUCUGUAGACUCUAGAGAAGCCGCCUUAUAGUUGUCUUUUACUUUCUGUUUAGAGCCAAGUCCACUUUAUGAACAAAAAGUUUGAGAAGUAUUUUUGAUAUAAUUCCAAAGAAGACCUCCAAAAGAUUCCUAGACAUGGGGAAGUGUCAUCUAUUUAAAAAAAUAUUUAAUUAGGCCCAGUGCAGUGGCUCACGCCUGUAAUCCCAGCACUUUGGGAGGUCCAGGCGGGCAGAUCACAAGGUCAGUAGUUGAAGACCAGCCCGGCCAAUAUGGUGAAACCCCAUCUCUACUAAAAAAUACAAAAAUUAGCUGGGUGUGGCAGCACAUACCUGUAGUCCCAGCUACUCAGGAGGCUGAGGCAGGCUGAGGCUUGAACAUGGGAGGCGGAGGUUGCAGUGAGCUGAGAUCGCGCCACUGUACUCCAGCCUGGGCGACAGAGUGAGACCCCAUCUUUGAGAUCUAGAAGUAAUGAGAGAUAAUUUGAAACUCUGAACAAAGAAACUUUUAGAAAAAAGCAUUUUUUAUCAUACUCCCACCCCCUACCUCAAACAUAUUUGGUUGAGUGAGUUGACUGUAAGUUGGGAACCUAUCAUAACUGUACUUGUAAGUAAAGACAUGUUUUUAAAGAAACAAGGAUAAAGUUCAUUGCAUAGCUGGUCAUUCUUCAAAUAAUGCCAGAUCCUAAGUGAUUUCAGGCUUGUUAAGUAUAUUCAUACUGUUGUGAAAUAGAUCUCCAGAACUUUUUCAUCUUGCAGAAGCUGAAAUUCCAUACCCAUUAAGCAACACCCCUCUCUGCCUCCCACCAGUCCCGGUAACCACCAUUCUACUUUCGGUUUCUAUAAAUUUGACUACUUUAGACACUUCAUAUAAAUGGAAUCAAACAGUAUUUGUCUUUUUGUGACUGACUUAUUUCAUUUAGCAUAAUAUCCUCAAGGUUCUCCCACAUUGUAGCAUAUGCAAGACUUCCCUUUCUUCUAAAGGGUGAAUAAUAUUCCAUUGCAUGAAUAAAUCACAUUUGUUAAUCCAUUUGUCCAUCUGUGGAUGUUUACGUUGCUUCCAUGUCUUGGCUAUUGUGACGAAUGUUCUGAUGAGCAUGGGUGUUAAAAUAUCACUUCAAGACUGCUUUUAAUUCUUUUGGCUAUAUGCCCAGAAGUGGGAUGGCUGGAUUAUAUGAUAGUUUUAUUUUUAAUUUUUUGAAGAAUUUCCAUACUAUUUUCCACAGAAGUAUCACCAUUUUAUAAUCCCACUAAUAAUGCACGAUGUUCCAAUUUCUUCUUGUGGAAUUCUUAAGACUGUCUUUUCUCCUUGAGAAACUCCCUGGGGAUUGUGACCAGCGAUGUCAUUGAUUUUCAAUCUGACUGAAGAAUGUAAUUUUCCUUCCAAUUGCAAAGUGUGUACUCCCUAAGGAAAGGAGGAGAGAAGGGUCAUCUCCAUAUAUGUUAAGUAGAGAAAAAUGUCAAUAGUUAGAUGCUGGGUAAAUACUGCAGGAAAAGAAAGGCGUUUCAGUACACAGCAUUUAUUCAAAUCAAUGCACCUGACUUGGUGGCUAGAUUUAAGUUAAAGUCUUUUCAGUGUGAUGGACAAAGCAGAUGUGUGAGCAUGAAUUCAAUCAUGAAAAGUCUUUAUUAAAAUACAAAGAGUCAACAUAUGUCACGUGGGGGAGGCUUAUUACUAAGAAUGUAAAUUCUUAAGACAAAACCUUCCUAUAGCCCAUGUGAUAAAUCUCUUUUCUGUUCCUAGUCUUAUGAAGGGCAUAUUACGAUGCUUUAGGGCACAUUUAUUUGUUGGACUUACCACAAUUCAUAAUUAAGUAUUUAGUUUUGUGCUUAUUUUUUAAUAUAGGAAAUGAAUACAGCAUAAGGCCAGUGGCAUGUUGUUUUUUUUUCUCAUUGCAUUUUCUUCAGUGAUGAAGCUGGUGCCUGAGGCAUUGUUGGAGGUUAAUAGAUACUUAUGGAAUGAAGGAAUGGAGUGUGGUAGAAAGAGUCUUAUUUUCUGAGGGAGGAGUUACGAGUUCUGUACUCAGAACCACUACUAAGUAGCUGUGAUUUCUAAGGCAAGUGACUUAGUCUCUUGGUCUUGGUUUACCCAUCUGUCAAAUAAGGAUUUCAUAUUUAAACACUUUUUUCCCCCAGACAGUGUUACUUGGGAUCUUGGAGAUUCUAGGAGGUGCCCUGAAUUGCAGAAUGCAAAAAUCCAAGAGCCGGGGACACUUGGUCCUCCACCGCUACUUUCCAAACAAAGAGAUCUACUUAUUUCUGUUUUAUGUGUUAGGAUACUACCAAAAUGUUUAUUUACAAAAUGAUUUCAAUGCUUAAAAAAUAUUCAAAACCCAUAAUUUAAAUUGGAAAAUCUCUAAGUCUCCUUUUAGCAGCUAACUGCCUGGGCUUUCCUCAUCCCCAGAAUCUUCACUUUAUCCAGGGUUUUGAUAAAGUGUCACCUCCUCAGAGAGACCCUACUUGGCCAACAAAUCUCUUGGUAUAAUUUGUAUUUAUUACCUGGUAUUAUUCUCUAUUUUGUGUGGCAGGUGUUAGUGUAUAAAUCUUAUCUCCUCAACAGCACUGCAGGUUCUUUGGGAGUGAGGGCCACAUAAUGUAUAUCACUUUCUCCACCCUAAUCAGUACUUAACAUAAGGCCAGAAAUGUAAUAGAUAUUAGUAUUCAACCUAUUCAUUCACAAAUCUUUAGAGAACUACUCGUAAUGGUUAUCAUACAUUAGACACUUGACAUUUACAAGUCUCUCAAGAUACCAUUUAAUUUCUUCACCUUUAAAGUGGGGGAAAGAGUACUUUCUUCAAAUGUUCGUUUUGAAGAUUAAUGAAGAUCAUGCAUUAGAUGAGAAUAGCAAAGCUCUGGUGAGCUGUAGAUUCUGGGCUGGGGGUAAGGUUCACUCACUGUCUGAGUGAUUAGUGCUAUGUCUCUCCCCUACUCAAAACCCUUUAGUAGCUCCCUCUUGCCUCAAAGAUUGAAUUAGACAUAUGUUAUGGUGCCUGACCAGCUUUCCUAUCCCUCUUCCCUGCUACCAUUUCUAAAAUCUUUUCCCACCCCAUGUGAUUCUGAUGUGUCCACAUCCAAAGCCCCCACU